ACAUAUUGUAACAGGUGACCUUUCAUUUUUUUAUCAUUUAACACGUAAACACUCAAUUGUAUUACCAAAAGCUAAUAGAACAGUGAUCACGAUACAAGGAUUAUUUAGCGCUACAUAAUGAUGUUUGUACAUCUCAAGUUGGCUUUCUUCGUAUUGACUUUCAUAUCAAUUCAACUAUGUUCGAAUACACCACCUUUAGCAGAAGGAAGAGGAUGGUUUUGGAAACAGCUUUUAAAACCUACGUGCAUGGGUUGUGCAGGAAUUUGUGAAAGAAAAGUACCCGGACGAUGUGCGUGUGAACCUGAUCCAAACUGUAGAUACAGAGGACGUUGAUUGUUUCUAUCAUUAACUGAUUAAAUCGUUUAAAAAAUUUGA